GGCACAGCACAGUGGUCUAGUGGGCAGUGCUGUUGCCUCACAGGUUGCAGGUUCAAAUCCAGCCUGGGGCCU